UUUUUUAUUUUUUCCCCAACAUUUAAGAAAUGUAAAUCAUUCUUAGCUCAGGAGCUAUAUAGAUGGUGAGCCAGAUUUGGCCUGUGGGCUGCAGCUUGCAGAUCCCCUGGUCCAGAACAGUCAGUGGAAAGGGUGACCUCCUUGAUUUAAAAUCUCAGGAAGUCCCUGAUUUCAGAAGAAAAGUUUUCAUUUUCUAUGGGUCUUGUAAUAGAGAGACAUUUGCAUAUGAUGUAUCAAUCAUAUAUCUUUGCUCUGGUUCGUUUUCUUGAUGUACAUACUCUCCCAUCAAAAUCCUCAAUCCUGUAUUGUUUUCAUGAACAAAAUAAAGGGCAUUUUAAAAUAAAAUUCUACCCAAGGAGGGGAGCCUGGGUGGCUCAGUCAGUUGAGUAUCUGCCUUCUGCUCAGGUCAUGAUCCCAGGUUCCUGGGAUGGAGCCCCACAACCCUCAUGGCAUUGGGCUCUCUGCUCAGCAGGGAGCCUGCUUCUCCCUCUCCUUCUAUUUAUUGCUCCACCUGCUUCUGCUUGCUCGCACUCUCUCUCUCUCUCUGUCAAAUAAAUGAAUAAAAUCUUUAAAAAAAUUCCACAAGGAAUCAAGUUUUUUGAAAAAAAUGAUAUUUAGGGGGAAAAAAUCUCCCAGUAACGCUAUCUCAAAAUGUCUCAUUUGUUUUCUUCCCAGGUUGUUACAUUUUUCAUUGUAAUUGAGCCCUUCAUUAGGUACUUCUAACAAUUUACUGUAUGGAAAACUCCCCAAGACCACCUCUUCCAGAUAUGUGCCCAUCUAGAUAUUUGAGUUCCAUUGCCAAGAAGCAUCAUAAAGGUUUUCCUCGAGACAUUUGUGUACAAAUCCCAAAGGAGGAGGAGGAGAGGGGAGGAAGAGAACAGAGUGACAUGGGGAGGACCUGUCCCAAGCAGCUGCUGCUGGCCCGUCUAGUAUCCGGGGGCUCCACAGGCAAACACAAGGCCACCCAGAUGCAGCCAUGGCCAAGUGCAAAAGUGCAACAUCUCCCAUCAGUGUGACAACUGAUGUCCCUGCCUUCCAGCUGAUGGAAAAUUCCUGGAGAAAGGGAAAAAAGGAAAGGAGCCUGUUGGGAUGGGGAAGGGGCGGGGUUGAGUUAGGGAUCUGAGUGGUGCAGGUUAGUUCCGCCCACUUUCAAUCACCCUCACCUGGACCCUCUAUAGAGAGCUCAGGUAGAGAAGCUUCCACUGCAGGAUGAGGACCCAGAGGACUGCAGCAUGUAGCUCAUUCACUCUUUGGAGCAUUUGAUCUCAGAUAUCUCUAAAGGAAAGAAAACAAAUGCAUGCUCCCUGUUUUUCUCCAGGACCAUUUUUUGUUUGUUUGUUUUUAAACUUAAGCCACUGCUGUGGCUUUUCUCUGCUCAGGAUUCUUUCUGAAGCCAAGUCCUUUGGCUGUUGAAACCAUGCAUCUUCCUCACACUUAGGUUAAGAUCAGGACAAAACAGUCCUAAUUCUAGAACGUGUCAGCCAGAAUCAGACCAUCACAAACCAAUCACCCAAGACUGCUCCCUGCUCCCAAUACUUGAGAUUAUUUUUCCAUGAUGUAAUAAACCUUUUAGAUCCUCUUGAAAGAAAAAUCACCAGCAAGUACAUCUCUCUGCCUAGAGAUCCUUGCGAACCAGAAAGUUGUUGAAAAGGUUUUUCAGACCAGAAGCAUUAGUUAUGGAUGUUGUCAUUGUUGUUCCUUGCAAGGAAGAGAAUAAAAGUGUAAUCAUACUAGGUCAUGUGUAAGUUUAUGCUGUUUUUACUGGCUCUUAACCCUUUUCCUUCCAGGAAUUGUUAAGUUCCUUUGCAGUGAUAGAUCAGUUCUUGGGUACAUUCUCACCAAGGGUGACCGUUUGACGGUAAGGUCCCUCAGUAGACCAACAGAAAAGAAGUCGGGUCACAUAACGGACUCCCUGGAAAUUACGUAAGAGAAAUAAAUACCCUGGUAUUUGCCCAGAGAGGAAAUUAGGAAAUUCACUUCGAGCAUGAACUCAUAGACUCUCUCAAACUCUCCUGUGAGAAAAAGUCUUCUUGGUCUGAGGGGGUCUUCAGUGGAGUUGGGGGGGCUUGUAGGAGAGACCUCCAGUCCCUAUGUUGCUUGCAACAGGGCUGCAGGGCAGGCUGCCUUCCUUGCCGUGGAGACUCCGAAGAGGGUUCAGGAGACAGGAGAAAGAACAGGACACCUGUCUGUGGCAGGAAGGGGGGGGUGGGUUCCUUUUUACCCCUGUUCUUUCUUUCAUUUUUGGGCUUUGUGUCAUGGCCUUCAAGUCAAUUUACAGAGAAAUGCUUGUGGGAAAAAAAAAAAAAACAAUUUCAAAAACGGUUUUUAUAUUUUAUUUUUAUUUUAUGCCGACUGGACUAUUUUGCCUGCAGGGUAUGGGUUGGUUUUAUAUUAAGUGUGCUUGAUGCUUUUCCGGCAAGUUGCUUUGAUAGGCUGUGCUUUUGUAAUGGAGCCUGUGGAGCUGGAAUCAUGCAGAUCCUGAACUGCAUUUCCGAAGAUGAAUCAAAUGCUGAAUAAUGUUAAUAAUAUAAUUAUAAGUGCUCUGCCUGGAUCACUGGCUAUGUCUGAGUCCCCUUUUCUUGUAGGAUUUGAAAUAACGUGUGGAUCGUGGAGAGGAAAAAUGAACCAAGGCGAGCAAUGCAUGAGGAAAGAAGAUAGAACAAAGAAAAGAGUGAAUUAAUAUCUGUGCUUAAUUCACUUAGGGAAGAGCACCGAUUCAUUGUGAGCCCAGGAUUAAGGAGACUUGCAGACGUUUCCAUUAUACUGCCUGGAUUUUGACAUUAUGGAUACGGCACUGGUGACAAAGUCUUUUGUGCUAAAUGAUGCUUUGACCAAGUAGAUGUUCAGAUAAUCUCUGCCAGGAUGUACAAAUCACACUUUUACCGUGUGCUACUCCAAGGGAAGAACUGCUUAUGUUAUGUGUACUUAGCUAGCAUUUUGCAGAAAGAUUAAAGUGGUGUAGCCUCAGAGCUUUAUAGAUUAUUCUAUUUUUGGAAAAUACUGACAGAGUCACCACUAUCUGAUUUAAAAGUUUCAUAUUUUAAUGCAUCAGAAAUAUGUGUGCAAUGGGUGAGUAGAUAAUGUUUUAAAUUGCAAAUUGUAAAAUAUGAGUGAACUCUUAAACACCAUAAAAUCAGAAUCGUGAACGCAAGUUGCCGAGAAAUUGGAGACUCAAAGCUGACUACAGCUCUUUUGUCACAACUAAGUAACUACAAAUCAAACUUGAACCAUCUUCAACGUCUUGUGAGGUUUUCAGAUAUGACACCAUGAGGUCAAGAGAUAGAACUCUGUGUGCGUGUGCAUUUUCACUUUUAUGCACUUUGAGUUUGCUUUGUGCCAACUAAUUUAUUAGGUACAUCCCUUCUUUCUUAAUCCAGUACUAAGGAGGCACUAUAUUUUUAUAUAAAAAUAAUAGGCAUUAAGAACAAUAGCUUUGGGUUUUAACCUUUGCCCAAGCGGGAAAUACCUCAUUAGUUUUCAAGGAUUUUUCUUUUUGGAAAGCAUUACUGCAUGUGUUAACACGUAUAAGUGGUUUAAUAUCAGUUAGUUGGAAAGCUAGCUCUCUUAGUUGAUUUUUUUUCCAAGUUGACUUCACAGGUACAGUAAGGGGUCUUUGUAUUUCGGUUUACAUGCAGGAAGAUGACAAUGAGGUGACAAGAAGGCAUUAUUUAUAGCAUCAGUUCCUGGCCUGCUAAAAUUUGGCAAUUCAGUUAUGCCAACCACAUAAAGGGAUAGAUUUAGCAUAAAUACAAGUCUUAAAAUGAGAUCUUCUUUGCUGACAAGAUCAGAAGCUGCAACACUGUGACCACUGUGACAGAAUUUAAGUCUGUGAAAUAAAUUCAGAGUUUCUCUGUUGCUAAUCAUAGAAACAAUUUUCUGAAAUGCUUCUUUACAGUAAUCAUUCCUUUGAAUUUCUUUAACAUUUAGAAUGGACUGGAUGAAGCUCAGAUCCAAGUGGAGGAGAAGAAAUAUCUGGAUUUGAUCCCAAUUAGUACAUUAAAAUACCCAAGUAAGCACCUAUAAAAUGGGUACUAACAUAACUUGGGUUUUCUUUUUAAUAAUCAUAUAAUGUUAUUAAUGCUAUUUUUCCUGUUAUCGUGAGUCAUUAAUGUUAUCGGUGACAAUGAGGUAUAGCAUUUUAUUUCUGCAUAGUUAUAACACAAGUUAUUUAUUUGUCUGUAAUUUAUACAUAAGGCUUUGAAUGUGAAAAGAUAAAUUUACCAAGGACCAAUGAAGGUUCUUAUACCUGCAGAACACAAGUCAAUGAAGGAGGAAACCAUCAGUCAUCUCCUCCGAUACUGACCAAAUUUAUUUUUAAAAUGGAAGAGAGUCUCUCACAGUGAAGCCUCAGAAUUAAGUCAAACGUUUGGAAGUAAGGUCUUGUAUGAGGAGUGCUGGGCCAAAUUUUAUAUAUUACAGUCAGCGUAGGAAUAAUUUGGGGGGGAUUAGUCACUGGCUGUGAAAAUUAUCAGCCUUAUUCUAUGAUUUCUAGAUUUGUCUGAGCACCGAUGUCAUGAAAAGUUGUACUCUGC
rnacentral:lncRNA from 1 species